rnacentral:rRNA from 1 species
GGGCGCACGGUGGAUGCCUUGGCACUAGAAGCCGAUGAAGGACGUUACUAACGACGAUAUGCUUUGGGGAGCUGUAAGUAAGCUUUGAUCCAGAGAUUUCCGAAUGGGGAAACCCAGCAUGAGUUAUGUCAUGUUAUCGAUAUGUGAAUACAUAGCAUAUCAGAAGGCACACCCGGAGAACUGAAACAUCUUAGUACCCGGAGGAAGAGAAAGAAAAUUCGAUUCCCUUAGUAGCGGCGAGCGAAACGGGAAGAGCCCAAACCAACAAGCUUGCUUGUUGGGGUUGUAGGACACUCUAUACGGAGUUACAAAGGACGACAUUAGACGAAUCAUCUGGAAAGAUGAAUCAAAGAAGGUAAUAAUCCUGUAGUCGAAAAUGUUGUCUCUCUUGAGUGGAUCCUGAGUACGACGGAGCACGUGAAAUUCCGUCGGAAUCUGGGAGGACCAUCUCCUAAGGCUAAAUACUCUCUAGUGACCGAUAGUGAACCAGUACCGUGAGGGAAAGGUGAAAAGCACCCCGGAAGGGGAGUGAAAUAGAACCUGAAACCGUGUGCUUACAAGUAGUCAGAGCCCGUUAAUGGGUGAUGGCGUGCCUUUUGUAGAAUGAACCGGCGAGUUACGAUUUGAUGCAAGGUUAAGCAGUAAAUGUGGAGCCGUAGCGAAAGCGAGUCUGAAUAGGGCGUUUAGUAUUUGGUCGUAGACCCGAAACCAGGUGAUCUACCCUUGGUCAGGUUGAAGUUCAGGUAACACUGAAUGGAGGACCGAACCGACUUACGUUGAAAAGUGAGCGGAUGAACUGAGGGUAGCGGAGAAAUUCCAAUCGAACCUGGAGAUAGCUGGUUCUCUCCGAAAUAGCUUUAGGGCUAGCCUCAAGUGAUGAUUAUUGGAGGUAGAGCACUGUUUGGACGAGGGGCCCCUCUCGGGUUACCGAAUUCAGACAAACUCCGAAUGCCAAUUAAUUUAACUUGGGAGUCAGAACAUGGGUGAUAAGGUCCGUGUUCGAAAGGGAAACAGCCCAGACCACCAGCUAAGGUCCCAAAAUAUAUGUUAAGUGGAAAAGGAUGUGGCGUUGCCCAGACAACUAGGAUGUUGGCUUAGAAGCAGCCAUCAUUUAAAGAGUGCGUAAUAGCUCACUAGUCGAGUGACACUGCGCCGAAAAUGUACCGGGGCUAAACAUAUUACCGAAGCUGUGGAUUGUCCUUUGGACAAUGGUAGGAGAGCGUUCUAAGGGCGUUGAAGCAUGAUCGUAAGGACAUGUGGAGCGCUUAGAAGUGAGAAUGCCGGUGUGAGUAGCGAAAGACGGGUGAGAAUCCCGUCCACCGAUUGACUAAGGUUUCCAGAGGAAGGCUCGUCCGCUCUGGGUUAGUCGGGUCCUAAGCUGAGGCCGACAGGCGUAGGCGAUGGAUAACAGGUUGAUAUUCCUGUACCACCUAUAAUCGUUUUAAUCGAUGGGGGGACGCAGUAGGAUAGGCGAAGCGUGCGAUUGGAUUGCACGUCUAAGCAGUAAGGCUGAGUAUUAGGCAAAUCCGGUACUCGUUAAGGCUGAGCUGUGAUGGGGAGAAGACAUUGUGUCUUCGAGUCGUUGAUUUCACACUGCCGAGAAAAGCCUCUAGAUAGAAAAUAGGUGCCCGUACCGCAAACCGACACAGGUAGUCAAGAUGAGAAUUCUAAGGUGAGCGAGCGAACUCUCGUUAAGGAACUCGGCAAAAUGACCCCGUAACUUCGGGAGAAGGGGUGCUCUUUAGGGUUAACGCCCAGAAGAGCCGCAGUGAAUAGGCCCAAGCGACUGUUUAUCAAAAACACAGGUCUCUGCUAAACCGUAAGGUGAUGUAUAGGGGCUGACGCCUGCCCGGUGCUGGAAGGUUAAGAGGAGUGGUUAGCUUCUGCGAAGCUACGAAUCGAAGCCCCAGUAAACGGCGGCCGUAACUAUAACGGUCCUAAGGUAGCGAAAUUCCUUGUCGGGUAAGUUCCGACCCGCACGAAAGGCGUAACGAUUUGGGCACUGUCUCAACGAGAGACUCGGUGAAAUCA